rnacentral:rRNA from 1 species
GAUGAACGCUGGCGGCGUGCCUAAUACAUGCAAGUCGAGCGAACAGACGAGGAGCUUGCUCCUCUGACGUUAGCGGCGGACGGGUGAGUAACACGUGGAUAACCUACCUAUAAGACUGGGAUAACUUCGGGAAACCGGAGCUAAUACCGGAUAGUAUAUUGAACCGCAUGGUUCAAUAGUGAAAGACGGUUUUGCUGUCACUUAUAGAUGGAUCCGCGCCGCAUUAGCUAGUUGGUAAGGUAACGGCUUACCAAGGCAACGAUGCGUAGCCGACCUGAGAGGGUGAUCGGCCACACUGGAACUGAGACACGGUCCAGACUCCUACGGGAGGCAGCAGUAGGGAAUCUUCCGCAAUGGGCGAAAGCCUGACGGAGCAACGCCGCGUGAGUGAUGAAGGUCUUCGGAUCGUAAAACUCUGUUAUUAGGGAAGAACAAAUGUGUAAGUAACUAUGCACGUCUUGACGGUACCUAAUCAGAAAGCCACGGCUAACUACGU